rnacentral:tRNA from 1 species
GGGGAUGUAGUUAAAAAUAACAUCUAAGUUGCAAUUAGAAAGAGCUGCAUAUCUAAUAGCCAUCCUCA